GACGAACGCGGCGGCGUGCCUAAUACAUGCAAGUGGGACGCAAGGGAACACACUGUGCUUGCACACCGUGUUUUCUUGAGUCGCGAACGGGUGAGUAACGCGUAGGUAACCUGCCUAUUAGCGGGGGAUAACUAUUGGAAACGAUAGCUAAUACCGCAUAAUAUUAAUUAUUGCAUGAUAAUUGAUUGAAAGAUGCAAGCGCAUCACUAGUAGAUGGACCUGCGUUGUAUUAGCUAGUUGGUAAGGUAAGAGCUUACCAAGGCGACGAUACAUAGCCGACCUGAGAGGGUGAUCGGCCACACUGGGACUGAGACACGGCCCAGACUCCUACGGGAGGCAGCAGUAGGGAAUCUUCGGCAAUGGACGAAAGUCUGACCGAGCAACGCCGCGUGAGUGAAGAAGGUUUUCGGAUCGUAAAGCUCUGUUGUAAGUCAAGAACGUGUGUGAGAGUGGAAAGUC
rnacentral:rRNA from 1 species